GAACGCUGGCGGCGUGCUUAACACAUGCAAGUCGAACGCGAAAGGGGCUUCGGUCCUGAGUAGAGUGGCGCACGGGUGAGUAACGCGUAGAUAACCUGUCCUGGUGUCUGGAAUAACGUCUCGAAAGGGGCACUAAUACCGGAUAUUCUUGCUUUCUUCAAGGUAUGCAAGGAAAGGUGGCCUCUGGAACAAGCUACUGCACGAGGAGGGGUCUGCGUACCAUUAGCUAGUAGGUGGGGUAAUGGCCUACCUAGGCGACGAUGGUUAGCGGGUCUGAGAGGAUGAUCCGCCACACUGGCACUGGAAUACGGGCCAGACUCCUACGGGAGGCAGCAGUGAGGAAUAUUGCGCAAUGGGGGCAACCCUGACGCAGCGACGCCGCGUGAGUGAGGAAGGCCUUCGGGUCGUAAAGCUCUGUCAAGAGGGAAGAAGUGCAUGGUGGUUAAUAUCUGUCAUGUUUGACGGUACCUCUAAAGGAAGCACCGGCUAACUCCGUGCCAGCAGCCGCGGUAA
rnacentral:rRNA from 1 species